rnacentral:rRNA from 1 species
GACGAACGCUGGCGGCGUGCUUAACACAUGCAAGUCGAACGGAGAGGACCUGCUUUUGCGCGGUGCUGGAGAGGCGAACACGGGUGAAUAACGUGAGUAAACUGCCCCUGACAUUGGGGUAAAUUCAGGGGAAAGGGGCGAAAAUCCGACAUGAGCACCUGAAGCAUGGGGGGGAUGGGAAAGAGACGGAGGUUGGGCAUGGACUCGCGGCUCAUCAGCUUGUUGGUGGGGUGGUGGCGUAACAGGGCACUGACGGGUAGCCGGCCUGGGAGGGUGACCGGCCACAAUGGGCCUGAGAUGCGGCCCGGACUCCUACGUGAGGCAGCAGUGGGAAAUAGUGCACGAUGGGCGGAGGCCGGAUGCAGCGACGUCGCGUGGUGAAUGACGGCCUUCGGGUUGUAAACCGCGUGCGCCUGUGACGAAGAGUGAGUGACGGUAACUGGUCAGGAAGCACCGGCUAACUACGUG